UGGAGAAGAACAGGCCCCCUUAAGACAGAUUUCCACAUAUAUGCCUAUAUAUCUUUUCUUAGGGUUAGUGUACCAGCUCGUUAUUCUGACUGCUGCCCCUUCUCGCCUUAUUAAAGGUGAUCUGUUCUUGUAUAGUGCCAGACUCCUUCUUUCUCCGAACCUCGCUUUCUCUAAUUCCCUUACUCUACAAGCAUAGGCCUUGGGGACUUCAGGGUGGAAAAGAAGUCUGCAAGUGUCAUUUUAGUGAAAUCUAAAUAUUGAAAGGACACUGGGGGCUGUGAUCCUGGUGGGUUUUCUUCGUCCUCCCCUCCACUCUGAGCCCAGGCGUCCACAGUGUCCCACCACCCUCACUGUUCUGGAUCACCGACCUUAGAUGGACGAGAAGAUGAGACCCCUGAUGGCCUGGAGCCAGCAUGUUAUGGGGGCCAGGGUGCUCACCUCCUCGAAGAGGGGCAGCCUCCAGCCCCCCAAGGAGUUGGUGGCUCUUUCACAAGCAGCUCGGCAGGCCCGCAUGGACUUCCCAGAAGCUUCACCUUCAUAGGGGUGGGAACACGCGAGGCUGAGAUCACGUGCGUCCUCAGAUGACCCAAGGCGCAGCCUCUGAUGUCACAGGUCACAGGUCGUGACCUCUAACGUCGCAGAGCGCGCUUGCCGGCGCGUCACGUCCUUAUGCACCCAUGUGGAUAGGCAGCUCUCGGUUUCCACACAGUGUGGUGCUCAGUUUGGUGGAGUGUGAUGUUUCCCCGAGGAAGUUGGUCAUGAUGCCGGCUAGUUCCUGGCGCGGGUGCCUGGUGGAGGCUGAGGGGACCUUUUCCUCCAUCCUGUGUUCUCCUCGGGGCCACAGCAUUCCGGAUGGAGAUGUCCACGGGGAGGGUGUGUCUCCUGGAACCCGAACGCAGGCAGACUGAAGACAAGAAAGAACAGUGCCAUGUAGCCAGUGAAGGAGACUUAUUUCUUCCUGUUAAAGAAACAAGGGAAAUCUGGCAUGCUGCAGUCCAAGGAAUUGCAGAGUCUGACACAACUGAACAACUAAAACCACAUGGAAAGAUAUUGGAGAGUAUUUCUUCAGGAAAAUUGAAAUCACAAGACUCAUUUUUAAACACAGGCAAGUCUAAGAGUUCAAGAGGAUUCCACAUUACCAGAAAAGAGAGAGUGGUAAAACCUGACGAGAACUGGACUUCAGGAUGGCUUUCUAGGCAUCCCUGUGAUGAAGUGGUGGACGUCCCAAAUAAUUGUAUGAUGUGAUUUUCAAGAGUCAAACCAAGGAGACUUGGCCAAAGGAAG
ensembl:lincRNA